UACGUAGGGUGCAAGCGUUGUCCGGAAUUAUUGGGCGUAAAGAGCUCGUAGGCGGUUUGUUGCGUCGGCUGUGAAAUCCCGAGGCUCAACCUCGGGUCUGCAGUCGAUACGAGCAAACUAGAGUGUUGCAGGGGAGACUGGAAUUCCUGGUGUAGCGGUGAAAUGCGCAGAUAUCAGGAGGAACACCGGUGGCGAAGGCGGGUCUCUGGGCCGAUACUGACGCCGAGGAGCGAAAGCGUGGGGAGCGAACAGG
rnacentral:rRNA from 1 species